rnacentral:rRNA from 1 species
UACGUAGGGGGCAAGCGUUGUCCGGAAUUAUUGGGCGUAAAGAGCGUGUAGGCGGCCAGAUAAGUCCGCUGUGAAAUCUCGAGGCUCAACUUCGAGCUGUCGGUGGAAACUAUCUGGCUAGAGUCCGGAAGAGGAGAGUGGAAUUCCUGGUGUAGCGGUGAAAUGCGCAGAUAUCGGGAGGAAACACCAGUGGCGAAGGCGGAACUCUGGGCCGGAACUGACGCUGAGGGAGCGAAAAGCGUGGG